GUGGGAGCUAUUUGACUUGUGUGGCUAGAAGUAUUCGAGUCAAUCAUCUGCUUGCCUCGGCCUACUUCAAUAGACAACGGAGGAUGCUCUACAUCAUAAUCGUAUGCAAAGACAGGUUACAAAAAAUGCAGGAAAAACGUUUAGGCUGUCGAAGCAAAUCCAUCAGGAGGACACCCUGGCAUCUGAUGUUGUCUACUAUGCAUCAAAGAGAUUACUGGUUGUUUCUACUCCUUCUUUUUGAAUGAGAUAAUUUACGUUAAUAUAAUGUUUUCAUAGAAGUGAGCCAAUCUUGAUUUGUUUGGUUAACACAAGUUAUGUGUUAAACGUGUGAUCCAAUAGUAUGGCUUUGUCAUGUUCUCUUAUUAGCUAAUUGUAAGUCCUUAGCAGCUGGAAUGCUGGAUCAUGACUAACAAGUGAAAAGGAUCAGUGAUAGUUUUAUGCUGGUGCAGACAUGCAAUGCCAAAUAAAACAUGGAUAAUUCCUUCUUGUUUGUGCAUAA